AACGAACGCUGGCGGCAUGCCUAACACAUGCAAGUCGAACGGACGCAUGGGAGCUUGUUGCCAUCCCGUGCGCGGCGGGCGGGAGAGUUACCCGAGGGCAACCUGCCUGCACUUCUGGGGUAGCUCCGGGAGGCCGAGGUUAACACCGACUAACUCUUUCCCUCUCGUGAGGGCACGCUGUAAGAUGGCAUUUCGCUAUCGCUUACACCUGGGCCCGCGGCGCAUUAUCUAGUUGGUGAGGCAACGGCUCACCAAGACGCCGAUGCGUAGCGGCCCUGAGAGGGUGAUCGGCCACACUGGAACUGAGACACGGCCCAGACUCCGACGGGAGGCAGCAGUAGGGAAUCUUCCGCGAAGGACGAAAGGCUGAUGGAGCAACACCGCGUGAGUGAUGAAGGUUUUCGGAUCGUAAAGCUCUGUUGUCAGGAAAGAACAAGUGCCGGUUUAACUGCCGGUAUCUUGACGGUACCUGAAGAAAAAGCCACGGCUAACUACGUG
rnacentral:rRNA from 1 species